rnacentral:piRNA from 1 species
UGACUAGAUGAUGGAGGUUCCUAAGGCC